rnacentral:misc_RNA from 4 species
AACGCACAUUGCGCCCUCUGGUAUUCCGGAGGGCAUACCUGUUUGAGCGUCAGUUCUCUCUCAAAAAAGAUUUUAUUUUUUUUGGUAUUGCUCGUACUUUUCUUAAGUUGAGUGAAAUGAAUUGGCAAGGCAGUUUUCUAGCUAUCAACGUAUUAGGUUUUACCAUUUCGUUGGAAGAGCAAAAAGACAAGCCGGGCGAUAUAACUGGGUUUUACCCAAAUAUUUGACCUCAAAUCAGGCAGGACUACCCGCUGAACUUAA